AGAACAAUAUUUGGAAAACGUAAAUAUAAAUGAAAAUUGUGUUCGAAACCGAUUUUAAUUUUUUAAUUUUGCAAUUAAAGGAAAUGGAGAAAUUUUAAAGGGCUCAAAGUGCCGAAGAUUAUAUUAAUAAAAUUCAGAAACUUGCUCGCGGAAUAAUACAAUAUUUCGGUCAGCUGAUAGAUAAAUUUUUCCCGCCAAUCCUGCGUCCGUGACCGAUGCAAGCUAAGAUUUUUUAAUAAGAAUUAAAUGGACAUAUAGGAAACAUUUUGUGAUUAAAAUGAGUGUUCCAAUUCCUAAUGAGCAAGAAAUACGCGAAAGAUUUCAAGCAUUAUGCGCUGAUUUGAAUAUGGAUGGAAAUGCGACUGACGAAGCGUGGCAAUCUUUCCUAAGGAUUAGUAAUACUUAUACAUUAGAGGGUGAUAGUUUACAUGGUUGGCCUGUGCCUUAUAUGUUGCUUGUCGAACAUGUGCUGUCCCAACAGUCAUAAAAGGAAGUUUUGUUGAAGGCAACUGCGUUUCUCUGACAAGAUUGCUGAAGUCUUGCAAAUUAAGGAUUUGACUUAACUAAGUAUAGCCACAGAGAAAUUUAAGAGAGCAAAAAUUCAUUAUUUUUCUUAUUACUCGAUAAAAAUUUCUCACCACUUUAAAGCGACCACAGCAUAAGUCUGUUUGUAAAGGAAAUGCAAGAUUUUCCAUCUUCUAGCAUAUUUGCUUAUAAAAAAGAAUUUUUUUUUUUUUUUUUUUUUUUUCCUGCAUGUAGAUGUUGAAGAAAUUUUCCAGUAUUAAACAUUUAAAUAUAUUUAUAUUAUUCAGUGAAACAGUUUACGUUCUUGAUUCCUUGUGGAGUUUACUAGUUAUGCUGUAUUCUGUAUUUCAUAAUCAUAUAGUGCUGUUAAAUUUUAUGAUUUCUUCAGUAACAUGACUGUUGUGUAUAAAUUACAAAAAGUAAUUAUUAUUAUUUAUUUAUUUUGUUUAAGAAGUUUUUAGAACAUCAGUUGAUUCUAAACAUAUGAGGAAAAUAACAAAAUAUUAUGUAAGAUUUCAUCAGAAAUGAGGAAAGAAUUGUGAGGAAAUAUUUACAUUAGCAAAAAAUGUUUCAGGUGGUUACAUUAAUAUAGAUUUUAAGGUCGGACUCUUUGUUUAACCCAUUAAUUUACUAGAUUAUUAGUCUUCUGCUAUUUAUUUUAAAAAUUCAUUUGAAUUCAGAAAUUCAUUUGAAAAUUCAUUUGAAUUUUGAAACCAAGAUGUGCUUACUGUAGUCCCCUUUGUAAUGCAAAAGAGUGUUUUGAAUGCAUUUGGAGCUGUAUAUAUUAUGAUAAAAAUUCUGUAGAAAAGGUUUAUAGAUCCUUUUAAAGUUGAAAAAUGAUGGGAGUAAGAAUACCCAAAACAAUAUAAUGGUUUUGAAGUUAUAUCACCUUUUGAUAUAACAUCUGCAGGGUAAAUUGCCUGUAAAUACUGAAUAAUAUGUGAUGUAUUUAUAAAAAAUUAUUGUUAUAAGAUGUUUUAAUAAUGAGAGAUCUUAUGAAAA